UACAGAGGUCUCAAGCGUUGUUCGGAUUCAUUGGGCGUAAAGGGCGCGUAGGCGGUCAGCACAAGUCAGUUGUGAAAUCUCCGGGCUUAACUCGGAAAGGUCAACUGAUACUGUGCGACUAGAGUGCAGAAGGGGCAACUGGAAUUCUCGGUGUAGCGGUGAAAUGCGUAGAUAUCGAGAGGAACCCCUGCGGCGAAGGCGGGUUGCUGGGCUGACACUGACGCUGAUGCGCGAAAGCCAGGGGAGCGAACGGG
rnacentral:rRNA from 1 species